rnacentral:rRNA from 1 species
UAGGGAAUCUUCCGCAAUGGACGAAAGUCUGACGGAGCAACGCCGCGUGAGUGAAGAAGGAUUUCGGUUCGUAAAACUCUGUUGUUUGGGAAGACAAAAUGUAUAGUAACUAUAUACAAAAGAGACGGUACCUAACCAUAAAGCCACGGCUAACUACGUGCCAGCAGCCGCCGUAAUACGUAGGUGGCAAGAGUUGUCCGGAAUUAUUGGGCGUAAAGCGCGCGCAGGUGGUUUAGAAAGUCUGAUGUGAAAGCCCACGGCUCAACCGUGGAGGGUCAUUGGGAACUAAUAAACUUGAUUGCAGGAGAGAAAAGUGGAAUUCCUAGUGUAGCGAUGAAAUGCGUAGAGAUUAGGAGAAACACCGGUGGCGAAAGCGGCUUUUUGGCCUGCAACUGACACUAAGGCGCUAAAGCGUGGGUAGCAAGCAGG